UUAUAAAUCCUUUAAUUUGUAUUAUUACAUUUUAUGAUAAAUUAUUGUGUAUUAACAAAUCUGCAUUGUAAAAAUGUUAGCAAAAAGCUAUAUAGACACUGCAAUGUAUAUAUAAAUAUAUUUAUUUUGAACAAAUAAUGUAGUUGACAGCUCCCUAUCAUAACAAGCUACAGCAUAACAAUCGUGACUUUAGGCCUAAUGAUUCAGUAAAAGGUUAAUGAUAGACGCAGUAUAGACUCCAAGCAUCACCUAACAUAACAAUCGUAACUUUAGGCCUAACGAUUCAGUAAAAGGUUAAUGAUAGACUCAGUAUAGACUCUAAGCAUCACCUUACAUAACAAUCGUGACUGUAGGCCUAACGAUUCAGUAAAAGGUUAAUGAUAGACGCAGUAUAGACUCCAAGCAUCACCU